GACGUAGGGCGCGAGCGUUGUCCGGAUUUAUUGGGCGUAAAGAGCUCGUAGGCGGCUUGUUGCGUCGACUGUGAAAACCCGCGGCUUAACCGCGGGCCUGCAGUUGAUACGGGCAGGCUAGAGUUCGGUAGGGGAGACUGGAAUUCCUGGUGUAGCGGUGAGAUGCGCAGAUAUCAGGAGGAACACCGGUGGCGAAGGCGGGUCUCUGGGCCGAUACUGACGCUGAGGAGCGAAAGCGUGGGGAGCGAACAGG
rnacentral:rRNA from 1 species